rnacentral:rRNA from 1 species
UACGUAGGGUGCAAGCGUUAAUCGGAAUUACUGGGCGUAAAGCGUGCGCAGGCGGUUUUGUAAGUCUGAUGUGAAAUCCCCGGGCUCAACCUGGGAACUGCAUUUGUGACUGCAUAGCUAGAGUACGGUAGAGGGGGGAUGGAAUUCCGCGUGUAGCAGUGAAAUGCGUAGAUAUGCGGAGGAACACCGAUGGCGAAGGCAGUCCCCCUGGACCUGUACUGACGCUCAUGCACGAAAGCGUGGGGGAGCAAACAGG